ACUACGCCUUGCAGCUUCCCCUACGUUAUAGGCUUUUUAACUUCAUUAUGUGAUCAGGCAUGUUGCCAACUUUGAAGGCCAUUCCACACAUCUGAGUGAUCUGGCUUGCCGUCCAGGUGAUUUAAGUGCCAAUCUUGAUAAAGGUCCGCAUAAGGACCGAAACGUCGAUGAAAUACGGCAUCAACAGUGAACCCGAAUAAAAAUAUACUGAAUUUACAA